rnacentral:rRNA from 1 species
GGGUUGUGAGGUUAAGCGACUAAGCGUACACGGUGGAUGCCCUGGCAGUCAGAGGCGAUGAAGGGCGUGCUAAUCUGCGAUAAGCGCCGGUAAGGUGAUAUGAACCGUUAUAACCGGCGAUACCCGAAUGGGGAAACCCAGUGUGAUUCGUCACACUAUCAUUAACUGAAUCCAUAGGUUAAUGAGGCGAACCGGGGGAACUGAAACAUCUAAGUACCCCGAGGAAAAGAAAUCAACCGAGAUUCCCCCAGUAGCGGCGAGCGAACGGGGAGGAGCCCAGAGCCUGAAUCAGCAUGUGUGUUAGUGGAAGCGUCUGGAAAGGCGCGCGAUACAGGGUGACAGCCCCGUACACAAAAGCGCAUGUGCUGUGAGCUCGAUGAGUAGGGCGGGACACGUGGUAUCCUGUCUGAAUAUGGGGGGACCAUCCUCCAAGGCUAAAUACUCCUGACUGACCGAUAGUGAACCAGUACCGUGAGGGAAAGGCGAAAAGAACCCCGGCGAGGGGAGUGAAAAAGAACCUGAAACCGUGUACGUACAAGCAGUGGGAGCACCCUUCGGGGUGUGACUGCGUACCUUUUGUAUAAUGGGUCAGCGACUUAUAUUCUGUAGCAAGGUUAACCGUAUAGGGGAGCCGGAGGGAAACCGAGUCUUAACCGGGCGUUAAGUUGCAGGGUAUAGACCCGAAACCCGGUGAUCUAGCCAUGGGCAGGUUGAAGGUUGGGUAACACUAACUGGAGGACCGAACCGACUAAUGUUGAAAAAUUAGCGGAUGACCUGUGGCUGGGGGUGAAAGGCCAAUCAAACCGGGAGAUAGCUGGUUCUCCCCGAAAGCUAUUUAGGUAGCGCCUCGUGAAUUCAUCUCCGGGGGUAGAGCACUGUUUCGGCUAGGGGGCCAUCCCGGCUUACCAACCCGAUGCAAACUGCGAAUACCGGAGAAUGUUAUCACGGGAGACACACGGCGGGUGCUAACGUCCGUCGUGAAGAGGGAAACAACCCAGACCGCCAGCUAAGGUCCCAAAGUCAUGGUUAAGUGGGAAACGAUGUGGGAAGGCCCAGACAGCCAGGAUGUUGGCUUAGAAGCAGCCAUCAUUUAAAGAAAGCGUAAUAGCUCACUGGUCGAGUCGGCCUGCGCGGAAGAUGUAACGGGGCUAAACCAUGCACCGAAGCUGCGGCAGCGAACGUAUCACCCAAGACAACUUUACGGAGUUGACGAUUGACGGAGCGAAGCGACGUCAAAGCGUUCAUUAAAGUCGAGUUGGCUUAGGGAUACGUUCGUUGGGUAGGGGAGCGUUCUGUAAGCCUGUGAAGGUGUGUCGUGAGGCAUGCUGGAGGUAUCAGAAGUGCGAAUGCUGACAUAAGUAACGAUAAAGCGGGUGAAAAGCCCGCUCGCCGGAAGACCAAGGGUUCCUGUCCAACGUUAAUCGGGGCAGGGUGAGUCGACCCCUAAGGCGAGGCCGAAAGGCGUAGUCGAUGGGAAACGGGUUAAUAUUCCCGUACUUGGUGUUACUGCGAAGGGGGGACGGAGAAGGCUAUGUUGGCCGGGCGACGGUUGUCCCGGUUUAAGCGUGUAGGUGUGUGUUCCAGGUAAAUCCGGUUCACUUUAACACUGAGGCGUGACGACGAGGCACUACGGUGCUGAAGCAACAAAUGCCCUGCUUCCAGGAAAAGCCUCUAAGCAUCAGGUAACAUCAAAUCGUACCCCAAACCGACACAGGUGGUCAGGUAGAGAAUACCAAGGCGCUUGAGAGAACUCGGGUGAAGGAACUAGGCAAAAUGGUGCCGUAACUUCGGGAGAAGGCACGCUGACACGUAGGUGAAGUGAUUUACUCAUGGAGCUGAAGUCAGUCGAAGAUACCAGCUGGCUGCAACUGUUUAUUAAAAACACAGCACUGUGCAAACACGAAAGUGGACGUAUACGGUGUGACGCCUGCCCGGUGCCGGAAGGUUAAUUGAUGGGGUCAGCGCAAGCGAAGCUCCUGAUCGAAGCCCCGGUAAACGGCGGCCGUAACUAUAACGGUCCUAAGGUAGCGAAAUUCCUUGUCGGGUAAGUUCCGACCUGCACGAAUGGCGUAAUGAUGGCCAGGCUGUCUCCACCCGAGACUCAGUGAAAUUGAACUCGCUGUGAAGAUGCAGUGUACCCGCGGCAAGACGGAAAGACCCCGUGAACCUUUACUAUAGCUUGACACUGAACAUUGAGCCUUGAUGUGUAGGAUAGGUGGGAGGCUUUGAAGUGUGGACGCCAGUCUGCAUGGAGCCGACCUUGAAAUACCACCCUUUAAUGUUUGAUGUUCUAACGUGGACCCGUAAUCCGGGUUGCGGACAGUGUCUGGUGGGUAGUUUGACUGGGGCGGUCUCCUCCUAAAGAGUAACGGAGGAGCACGAAGGUUGGCUAAUCCUGGUCGGACAUCAGGAGGUUAGUGCAAUGGCAUAAGCCAGCUUGACUGCGAGCGUGACGGCGCGAGCAGGUGCGAAAGCAGGUCAUAGUGAUCCGGUGGUUCUGAAUGGAAGGGCCAUCGCUCAACGGAUAAAAGGUACUCCGGGGAUAACAGGCUGAUACCGCCCAAGAGUUCAUAUCGACGGCGGUGUUUGGCACCUCGAUGUCGGCUCAUCACAUCCUGGGGCUGAAGUAGGUCCCAAGGGUAUGGCUGUUCGCCAUUUAAAGUGGUACGCGAGCUGGGUUUAGAACGUCGUGAGACAGUUCGGUCCCUAUCUGCCGUGGGCGCUGGAGAACUGAGGGGGGCUGCUCCUAGUACGAGAGGACCGGAGUGGACGCAUCACUGGUGUUCGGGUUGUCAUGCCAAUGGCACUGCCCGGUAGCUAAAUGCGGAAGAGAUAAGUGCUGAAAGCAUCUAAGCACGAAACUUGCCCCGAGAUGAGUUCUCCCUGAGACUUAGAGUCUCCUGAAGGAACGUUGAAGACGACGACGUUGAUAGGCCGGGUGUGUAAGCGCAGCGAUGCGUUGAGCUAACCGGUACUAAUGAACCGUGAGGCUUAACCUUACA